GAUGAACGCUAGCUACAGGCUUAACACAUGCAAGUCGAGGGACCGGCGCACGGGUGAGUAACACGUAUCCACCCUGCCCUUUACUCGGGGAUAGCCUUUCGAAAGAAAGAUUAAUACCCGAUAUACACGCUGGGGAUGCGUUCCAUUAGGUUGUUGGUGAGGUAACGGCUCACCACGCCUUCGAUGGCUAGGGGUUCUGAGAGGAAGGUCCCCCACAUUGGAACUGAGACACGGUCCAAACUCCUACGGGAGGCAGCAGUGAGGAAUAGUGGUGAAUGGGCGCUAGCCUGAACCAGCCAAGUAGCGUGAAGGAUGAAGGCUUAUGGGUCGUAAACUUCUUUUAUAUAAGAAUAUGUAUUAUAUGAAUAAGGAUCGGCUAGCUCCGGGCCAGCAGCCGCGGUAAUUC
rnacentral:rRNA from 1 species